rnacentral:lncRNA from 1 species
CCCCGAUGUUACUUAAUGAAAAAUAACUUAUCUUUAAAGGCACGGUUGGUAUUGAUGGAUAAUUUUAUACUGUGUUUUUGCUGUUUUGAAAUUCCUUUAGAUAGAAAUGCAGUUUCCGUGCAGUGCUGCUCAGGAGGCGAAACGGCAAAAGUGCAGAAACACAUUGCACAGCAUUGUCCAAAUCAGUGCAGUUUCUCAAGUGGCCACCAGGCUGUGCUGUCUGAUAAGAAAUGUGGCGUCUCUUCAGCAACAGCCUGCACGCUCUGAGAUUUUGCGGCCGAUAGCAGAUGAGCAAACAGCACCUAGAGGAGAAGGAAAACUCCAGUCUUGAUGAACCCAGUCUGACUGCACCUGAAUGUUGACAAACCGCAGAGGAAGCACCAACAAAGAAGAGCGAUUAAGGGGAGAUUCCUGGCUCGGUGAAGGUAAGAGGCCAUCAGACUUCCUCUCUUUGCACCUCAGAACAACACUCUAUUGACAACACUUAGACUUGGGAGCCCCCAGCUUCAUGGGGGUUACAGGGUCGGCUCCUGAACAGCCAGAACAUCCACAUCCCCUGCUCUUCAGUGAAGAUGUGUGUUUUAAAGGGUCAGCGGGCUGCCACAUGGACUGAGCUGUGUAGGUGAAUGUUACUUAUGGUUUUGGGUAAACUGAUAUUCAUGUGCGUGAUGUUUGAGGCUGAGAGAAAGGACGUUCUCACUGGCAGAGGACAUAAAAAAUGAGUCAGCCAUGUGAGACCUGGGGUCAUGCAGGGUCAGUGUGGCAGUCAGCGGGUUAGCUCCAACAGUGUUUGAAUAAUAUUUGUUCCUGCCUGUUAAGUUAAAGUAUCAAUUUAUGUAAUACGAGUCUGGAACUGAGGUUAUUUGUGAAUGAGGUGAACUGAGCUGAAGAAAACCUGUUCCCCAUCCAUCCAUUUUCUUCUGUUUAUCCAGGGCCUGGUUGCGGGGCCAGG